rnacentral:rRNA from 1 species
GGGGGGGGGGGGGGGUGGGCGUGAGAGGGGGAGGUCGAACGGCAGCACCGGAAGAGCUUGCUCUUACGGGUGGCGAGUGGCGGACGGGUGAGGAAUACAUCGGAAUCUACUUUUUCUUUGGGGCUACCGUCGGGAAACUUACUCUCAUACCGCCUACCACCUACGGGUGAAAUCAGGGGAUCUUCCGACCUUCCCCUCAUGCAUGCUCCGCUGUCGGCUUAGCUAGUUGGCGGGGUAAAGGCCCACCAAGGCGACGAUCCGUAGCUGGUCUGAGAGGAUGAUCAGCCACACUGGAACUGAGACACGGUCCAGACUCCUACGGGAGGCAGCAGUGGGGAAUAUUGGACAAUGGGCGCAAGCCUGAUCCAGCCAUACCGCGUGGGUGAAGAAGGCCUUCGGGUUGUAAAGCCCUUUUGUUGGGAAAGAAAAGCAGCAGGUUAAUACCCCGCUGUUCUGACGGUACCCAAAGAAUAAGCACCGGCUAACUUCGUG